GCGAGCGGCGGAUGGGUGAGUAACACGUGGGGAACCUGCCCCUAAGUCUGGGAUACCAUUUGGAAACAGGUGCUAAUACCGGAUAAUAAAGCAGAUCGCAUGAUCAGCUUUUGAAAGGCGGCGUAAGCUGUCGCUAAGGGAUGGCCCCGCGGUGCAUUAGCUAGUUGGUAAGGUAACGGCUUACCAAGGCGACGAUGCAUAGCCGAGUUGAGAGACUGAUCGGCCACAUUGGGACUGAGACACGGCCCAAACUCCUACGGGAGGCAGCAGUAGGGAAUCUUCCACAAUGGACGCAAGUCUGAUGGAGCAACGCCGCGUGAGUGAAGAAGGUUUUCGGAUCGUAAAGCUCUGUUGUUGGUGAAGAAGGAUAGAGGUAGUAACUGGCCUUUAUUUGACGGUAAUCAACCAGAAAGUCACGGCUAACUACGUGCCAGCAGCCGCGGUAAUACGUAGGUGGCAAGCGUUGUCCGGAUUUAUUGGGCGUAAAGCGAGCGCAGGCGGAAAAAUAAGUCUAAUGUGAAAGCCCUCGGCUUAACCGAGGAACUGCAUCGGAAACUGUUUUUCUUGAGUGCAGAAGAGGAGAGUGGAACUCCAUGUGUAGCGGUGGAAUGCGUAGAUAUAUGGAAGAACACCAGUGGCGAAGGCGGCUCUCUGGUCUGCAACUGACGCUGAGGCUCGAAAAGCAUGGGUAGCGAAACAGGAUUAGAUACCCUGGUAGUCCAUGCCGUAAACGAUGAGUGCUAAGUGUUGGGAGG
rnacentral:rRNA from 1 species